rnacentral:rRNA from 1 species
GGGCCCGCACAAGCGGUGGAGCAUGUGGUUUAAUUCGAUGAUACGCGAGGAACCUUACCAGGACUUAAAUGUACAACGACAGAUUGGGAAACCAGUCCUUCUUCGGACGGAGUACAAGGUGCUGCAUGGUUGUCGUCAGCUCGUGCCGUGAGGUGUCAGGUUAAGUCCUAUAACGAGCGCAACCCUUAUCUUUAGUUGCCAGCGGUUCGGCCGGGGACUCUAAAGAAACUGCCCGCGCAAGCGGUGAGGAAGGUGGGGAUGACGUCAAAUCAUCACGGCCCUUACGUCCUGGGCCACACACGUGCUACAAUGGUAGAUACAAAGGGCAGCUACCUGGCGACAGGAUGCUAAUCUCUAAAAUCUAUCUCAGUUCGGAUUGGAGUCUGAAACUCGACUCUAUGAAGCUGGAAUCGCUAGUAA